UACGUAGGUUGCGAGCGUUGUCCGGAUUUACUGGGCGUAAAGCGCACGCAGGCGGCCUCGCAAGUCCAAGGUGAAAGCUCCCGGCCCAACCGGGAGAGGCCCUUGGAAACUGCGGGGCUUGAAGGCGGGAGAGGCAGAUGGAAUUUCCGGUGUAGCGGUAAAAUGCGUAGAUACCGGAAGGAACACCGGUGGCGAAAGCGAUCUGCUGGCCCGCCCUUGACGCUCAGGUGCGAAAGCUAGGGGAGCGACCGGG
rnacentral:misc_RNA from 1 species